rnacentral:lncRNA from 1 species
AAGAGACAUGAUCUUGCUAGAGUGCAGUGGCAUGAUCAUAGCAUACUGCAGCCUCAAACUCCUGGGCUCAAGCAGUCUUCCUGCAUCAGCCUUCUUAGAGACAGUGCCUCAUUAUGUUAUCCAGGCUGGUCUUGAACCCCUGGCCUUAAGCUAUCUUCCCACCUCAGCCUCCCAAAAUGCUGAGAUUGCAGGCGUGAGCCAACGUGCCCGGCCAAAUUUUUAUAUUUAAUCAGAGUACCUCCUAUAUUUGCUUUGGGUGUCUGCUCUCUCGUGAAUGUGUAUUCUAUGUAGGCUUAUAUAUUAUUACAUUUCCCACUUCCUUUUUUUUUUUUUUUUUUUUUUGAGACAGUUUCGCUUGUUGUUCAGGCUGGGGUGUAGUGGCACAAUCCUGGCUCACUGCAACCUCUGCCUCCCGAGUUCAAGCAAUUCUCCUACCUUAGCCUCCCGAAUAGCUGGGAUUACAGGCAUGUACCACCAAGCCCAGCUAAUUUUUGUAUUUUUAGUAGACAUGGGGUUUUGCCAUGUUGGCCAGUCUGGUCUCGAACUCCUGACCUCAGGCGAUCCACUUGUCUUGGCCUCCCAAAGUGCUGGGAUUACAGGCGUGAGCCACCAUGCCCGGCCCUUUUCUUUCUUUUGUAUUUUGUGUUUUGAGACAUGGUCUUGCUCUGAUACCCAGGCUGGAGUGCAGUGGCAUGAUCAUGGCCCACUGCAGCCUUGAUUUCCUGGGUUCAAGCAGUCCUCCCACCUCAGCUCCCCGAGUAGCUGGGACCGCAGGGGUAUACUACAACAUCACACCCAGCUAAUUUUUUUUUAUUUUUUGUAGAUAUGGGGUCUCGCUAUGUUGCCUGGGCUGGUCUCGAACUCCUGGACUCUAGUCAUCCUCCUGCCUUGUCCUCCCAGAAUGCUGGGAGUACAACUAUGAACCACUGUGCCUGGCAUGUAAAUUUUGUACAUUUAACUUCACAUGGUAGUAUUAUAAGAAGCAUGCCUUUACACUCUCCUAGAGGUUGAGGA